GCCACUUUAAUUUGAUGGAAACAGUAAGCAAUAAGCAUGUUUAAAUAUGGAUUUUUAUGAAUAGAAGCUUUUCCAGUUUAAGAUAUUAAAUUAUAUAUGAAAAUAUAAUUUAGACAGCUUAAUAAAUUAGGUUUAUUAGGUGCCAGCAACCGCGGUCAUACCUAAUAAUUUAGUUUAUAAUGAUAUUAAAUAAUUUUAAUCCGCGUUUAUGAAUAUGAUGAUAUAUAGUGAAAUACUAUCCCAUAUUUGCUACUUUUCAAGCCUAUAAAAAUGAAAUCCACAACUAAAACUAGGAUUAGAGACCCUACUAUUGUGGUUUACUAAUUAUUUACUAAGAAGUAAAACAUAAAUUUAAAACUUAAAUGUUAUGGCGGCUGACCAAAACAAUUAGGGGAACUUACCAUAUAAUUGAUAACCACCAAGCAUAAUCAUACUUACUAUAAUAAUUUGUAUACCGUUGUCUUCAUGAACCCCCUCGAGGGGGUUCAUGAAUAUAUUACAUAUAAUAAGAUAAAUCAAGGUGCAGUUGACUUAGUAAGAAAUAAGGUGAGUUACAUUAAAAUAUUUUUUCGGAUUAUAUAAUGAAAUAAAUUAUAAAGUUGGACUUAAAAGUACUAUAUAAAUUAACAAAUAUACUAUGAAUGUGUUUUGCUUAGUGUA
rnacentral:rRNA from 1 species